rnacentral:rRNA from 1 species
ACCGAACGUUGGCGGCAUCUCUAACACUUGCAAGCCGACCGAGACCCUCGGGUCUAGUGGCGUACGGGUGUGUAGAGCGUGGGAACCUGACCUUAGGUUCGGAAUAUCUCCCUGGAAAGGGUGCCAGUAAAGGGUAAUUACUACGGACCAGAGACUUAUCGCCUUUGGAUGGGCCCGCGUUGGUUUAGCUAGUUGGUAGGGUAUAAGCCUAUCUAGGCGACGAUCCAUAGCUGGUCUGAGAGGAUGAUCAGCCACACUGGGACUGAGACACGGCCCAGACUCGGACGGGGGGCAGCAGUGGGGAGUAUUGGACGAUGAGCGAAAGUCUAAUCCAGCAAUGCCGCGGGAGUGAGGAAGGGCUUAGGAUUGUAAAGCUCUUUGACCCGGGAUGAUAAUGACAGUACCGGGAGAAUAAGCACCGGCUAACUCCGUG